rnacentral:rRNA from 1 species
GACGAACGCUGGCGGCGUGCCUAAUACAUGCAAGUAGAACGCUGAAGGAGGAGCUUGCUUCUCCGGAUGAGUUGCGAACGGGUGAGUAACGCGUAGGUAACCUGCCUGGUAGCGGGGGAUAACUAUUGGAAACGAUAGCUAAUACCGCAUAACAGUAGAUGUUGCAUGACAUUUGCUUAAAAGGUGCAAUUGCAUCACUACCAGAUGGACCUGCGUUGUAUUAGCUAGUUGGUGAGGUAACGGCUCGCCAAGGCGACGAUACAUAGCCGACCUGAGAGGGUGAUCGGCCACACUGGGACUGAGACACGGCCCAGACUCCUACGGGAGGCAGCAGUAGGGAAUCUUCGGCAAUGGACGGAAGUCUGACCGAGCAACGCCGCGUGAGUGAAGAAGGUUUUCGGAUCGUAAAGCUCUGUUGUAAGAGAAGAACGAGUGUGAGAGUGGAAAGUUCACACUGUGACGGUAUCUUACCAGAAAGGGACGGCUAACUACGUG